GGGAGGUCUGCUUCCCAGAGACAAGCUUUAUUUACAACUUCUCGUCGGAGCCCUCCAGCAAGGGGGAGCAGGAGACCGGCUACCCCAGAAGCCACCUUUCAUCCACUCAGACCAUGUCCCCGUGGGAUCAUCACAAGUCAGAGCCCCCUUCGCACCUCGGCCUCAGGCUCCAGCACCUUCACGGAGGGGAGGCCCACUGCCGAGAGUCUCUCUGUGUGGUCCUGGCCAUCCUGGAACCAGCUAUGUAGAUCAGGCCUGGAACUCAGAGAUCUGCUUGCCUCUGCCUCAUCUUGUGUUAUCAUGCACAGGGGAAAAUACGAAUGCUUAAAUAAAAUGUCUUGACUUUAAAAUGAAAGCAAGUAAUUUUACAUUUUUAAAAAAGCAUAGCACACUAUAAACCACAUCUUUGCUCCGAGCUAGGCUUAAGGAUGGCCACACUGCCUUUAUUCUUGCAACUGGUUGUUAGCUGUGGUUAUGUGGGAGGAGUUUCCCCUUAGUGUCCCGCUGACCCAUCUUCUCUUAGAAGAUUUGGCAGCCUGGAAUAAAACUCAGCUUCAUAUACCAACCUA